CCGCCCGUCACACCAUGAGAGUUGGUAAUACCAGAAGCACGUAUCUUAACCGUAAGGAGAGAGCGUACCAAGGUAGGAUUAGCGAUUAGGGUGAAGUCGUAACAAGGUAUCCGUACGGGAACGUGCGGAUGGAUCACCUCCUUUCUAUGGAGUUAAUCAUAGUAGAGAUAUAAAAGCUGAGCGAAUCGAUAAAACAGCUUUUGAUUAUAUUCUGGUUCUAUCUAGUUUUCAGAGAUCGUGGACGCUACAAAGCGUUUUUGAUUUCUGAGAAUCGUUCUUUGAAAACUGAAUAUUAGAUGAAAAAAGACAUUUUAAUUUUUCUUACGUUUCAUAAAAAACGUAAAAUAGUAACUUUAUAAUUACUAAGAAAAACUGAAAUUUCAUAUUUAUUAGAUUAUCUAUAAUGCAAAAUAGGAUUUCUUUUUAAAGAAAGUAUAGUAAGGGCAUAUGGUGAAUGCCUUGGAAAAUGGAGCCGAUGAAGGACGUGACUACCUGCGAAAAGUUUCGGGGAGCUGGAAGUAAGCUAUGAUCCGGAAAUGUCCGAAUGGGGAAACCUACUAUGAUUAAUCUCAUAGUGUUUAUAACUGAAUACAUAGGUUAUAUAACGGGAACCUAGGGAACUGAAACAUCUUAGUACCUAGAGGAAAAGAAAACGAAUGUGAUUCUGUAAGUAGCGGCGAGCGAAAGCGGAACAGGCCAAACCGGUCUACGGGCCGGGGUUGUAGGACUCUUGUUAGAGUUACAAAAUCAGUGUAUAGCAGAAUGUGUUGGGAAGCACAAGCGUAGAGGGUGAUACUCCCGUAUGCGAAAUGCACUGAUCUCGAUAGAGUAUCCUGAGUACGGCGGGGCACGUGGAACCUUGUCGGAAUCUACCCAGACCACUGGGUAAGCCUAAAUACUACCAUUUUACCGAUAGUGAACCA
rnacentral:sRNA from 1 species